rnacentral:rRNA from 1 species
UACGGAGGGUGCAAGCGUUAUCCGGAUUCACUGGGUUUGAAGGGUGCGUAGGCGGGUUGGUAAGUCCGUGGUGAAAUCUCCGAGCUUAACUCGGAAACUGCCGUGGAUACUAUCAAUCUUGAAUAUCGUGGAGGUAAGCGGAAUAUGUCAUGUAGCGGUGAAAUGCUUAGAUAUGACAUAGAACACCAAUUGCGUAGGCAGCUUACUACACGAUCAUUGACGCUGAGGCACGAAAGCGUGGGGAGCAAACAGG